CUCUGGUCUCUACCACACAGAUCAAAAAGUUGACAGCUUUCUUUCUGAGAAGAAUCAGCCAUGGCCAAGCCAACCACAUCCUACGAGGAAGCUCGAAAGCAGAGAAUGGAGGAGAACAGGAAGCGAAUGGAAGCCCUCAAUCUGCCUCAGCUGGCUCACAGUCUCCGCACCUCUUCUUCACCCAAAGCCUCUCCGAUGAAGCGCCAGAAGCCUCCGAAAGUGGAGAAGCAGAUUGUUGAGGUCAGGAGGUCGGCUCGCAACGCCGGCCAGCCUAGCCCUGUUUACAGAGAAGUGGAGGUGAAGAUACCAAGAAGCUAUGUGAGGGUCUCAAAGCAUAGGGAUUUGUCGAACCGGGUUUAUGCUAGUGACCACGCCAGAGCUGAGGCAACAGAGAAAGCUGAGGAGUUGGAGUCGGGUUUGGGAACUGAUUACCCGACUUUUGUGAAACCAAUGCUUCAGUCCCAUGUCUCUGGUGGAUACUGGCUGGGAGUUCCACUCUCUUUCUGCAGGAGUUACCUUCCCACACGUGAUGCGACUGUGGUGUUGAUCGAUGAAGAAGGCGAGGAGUACAAUACUGUAUACUUAAAUAACAAUCAUGGACUUAGCGGUGGAUGGAGGGGAUUUGCAAUGGCCCAUGAUUUGGUGGAUGGAGAUGCAUUGGUAUUUCAGCUGAUUAGGCCUACAACAUUCAAGGUGAUGAAUUUAAAGUAUUCUUAUGACUCAGGGGGACACGGGAGAAUUCCUAAACCCAAGAGGCCAAGACUGGGGAUUAAGCAUCAUAGUUUAUGAUAGACCAAGAAGAGUAGAUAUUCUCUUUGUAAGCGACAAAAAGCUGUAGGAGGAAUAAACUGUAUAUUAUCCCAGAUACAGUUGAGACAAGUAUUCAAACUGCAUAUGUUCUGUUUUCUUUUCCAGCUUAUGUUUAUUUCUUUUUUUCAAAUUAACUGUACUUGUGUUAUUUUGUCAGGUGUACAUCACAAGGGCGGAAGAGUAGGAGUGCAAUAAGUGGCUUAGCUCAUAGGUUAGAUCAGUUGAGGUCAAAAUGUUUGGUACAGGACUAUCCAAGUGCAAUGAUCUUCUUUUGUCCCAGGAUAUUCAGAUGUCAUUAUGAGAUCAUGAACACAGGACUUCAUUUAGAAAGAUGGAAUGUCCGAAUAUGCACCAUCAGUAUUAACGAAAGAGAUCAAUCUAUGCACA